GACAGAGGGGGCAAGCGUUGUUCGGAAUCAUUGGGCGUAAAGGGCGCGUAGGUGGUUCUGUAUGUCUACCGUGAAAGCGUACGGCUCAACCGUAUUUUGUCGGUAGAAACUGCAGGACUUGAGGCUGGGAGGGGCUGGUGGAAUUCCCUGUGUAGCGGUGAAAUGCGUAGAGAUGGGGGAGAACACUCGUGGCGAAGGCGGCCAGCUAGACCAGUUCUGACACUGAGGCGCGAAAGCGUGGGGAGCAAACAGG
rnacentral:rRNA from 1 species